GACUUGUAUUCUACUGGGGCAAAUACUAUCAGACUUUUCACAUCUGUUAUUUAUAUUCCAAAAAAGGCCACUGUAUUUCUUUGUACGUUGACAAAAAUAGCUUAUCUCAAAGUAAUUCUGCCCCAAGGCUGCUUCAGGGUAGUCCUUGCCUAACGUAGAACUUCCUCUGUUGGUUUUGCCCCGGGCUCUGUUACUGAGCAUCCACCCCAUGUUCUCAGCUGUUUGUAACUUGUGGCACUGAACUACCAGCAUAAGAACUUGAUCCUAAUUAGAUAAGGAAAAUUUUCCAAUAAACAAAACUAAAUGCAGGAUUUGGCCAGCUCAGAAUUUUCUUAAUUGAUUUCUUAAGCUAUCAGAACUGGUCACUAAAAUUCCAUUAAAUGCAAUUAUUUUGUUCCUGGUUUGAAAUUCUAACUUCAGGUAAACGCCACAGGCAGGUCUGUGGAACACUGAAAAGUGGAGCAGUUUCAGAUAAAAAAUCAUUGUAGCAGAAAUUGUCUUAGUUUAUAAUUAUAAAGUAGUUUAAUACAGGAGGUUGAUUUAAAAACCUCAUUUUAAAUCCAGUAAAUUCUAUUUUUAUAGACUAUUUCCUGAAUUACAAAUAUUUUAGAAAACUUCUUUCAUUUUGUCAGCACUGUUGUAAUAAUUUUGGACUACACAAAAGAUUUUUGUCUUCUGCAUGGCACAUGCAAUGCUCAUCUGUCCAUCAUUAUUAACCAAAUCAAUAGCUAAACAUGUAAAUACUUCUUUUCUGCACUUUCAUAUCAUUUUUGACACAGCACUAAACAGAGCAUCAGUCUCUAAGCAGACUCAGAGCUCAAUUGCUCAGUGCCCACCCUGGUCUGCAGCUAUAACCUGGCGGCAUGACAGAGUUCCUUUAUUUUUGUAACCCCACAGAGGGAGAUUUUCAACAUUCUGAACAUACACAGUAUAUUCAAUUAUACCUUUUUUUAAAGCUCUGAGUGCUCCCUACCUUAAAUACCAGGGAGCAGAAGUGGAAGUCUGGAAAUAAUUAAGUCUUUAGUCUGGAAAUAAUUCUAGUUCACGUACCUUUGAUUGAUCCAGGCAUUUCAGUAAAAAAUUCUCAUUUCUGUCAAUACUUGAUGCAAGCAGAGAGAAACGAGGACAAAGGCUUGAAACAGAUUAGAAGUAGGAAGUUGGGGUUUUCUUUUUUUUUUUUACAUUGGUGUCACUUUAACAACCUUCAGAAAACAGGAAGAGUUGAAACAGAAGAAAAUGAAGUGGCAUUUCAAUCUCUCUGUAUCCUUUAUCACUAUUUAAUUAGGGAGCUCUAAACAGAAUCUUUGAAAUGUGGGGGGUUUUGACUCUGCUUUCAGUUGUAUUGUCCUGAAAUACAAUGGUAGGGUUUUAAUUUAAUCCUAAAGCUAAUUUUCUUUUAAGUUUACAGUAAAGGGUUCUCCUAAGAUAUGUUGGGAAAGAAAACAAUGGUGGAGAGAAGACACUUGGCACACAUAAAAUGCUAAACUUAUCCAGCUUCUUCUGAUGGUGCCCUGUGGGACAGGAGAAAGCAGGAACCAGGUGGGAAAUGCCUCAGGAUUGUUAAAAGUGCUUGGGUCAUGCUCAACAAACCUCCAUAAACUUGUGGAAAGCUGCAGGGAAAACAGGAUAGGGCACAGUCAAGUGCAGUUUUUUAAAAAAUUCUAUUUUAUUUGUGUGUCGAGUUCCUAAGGAGUGCUCAGGUGACAACACAGUGAGCAGCACUGAGGGGUCCUGGCAGGGGCCACUCUUCUUUAUGCAAAAAAAAAAGAGUGUUUUGUUUCACAUAGGGACUGGGAUGGCUGCAACCUCCUCUGCUGGUAGACUGUCAAAUCCCAAACUGGAAUAUGCAUUCCUAAUAAUGUUACAAAAUUGCCAUCUCUGGCCUGUGUAAUUUCCUUAGGAACACCAUCUUUUGGAAGAUACAGUUUUCUUUUCAGUUUUAUUUUAUUUAUUUUCCCUGUGAUGAGCAGCUGCCCAGUUCAGACCCUGCAGCCUGUCCCUUGCUGGGGGGUGGUGAAACUGUAAUGUUAUAAUUGUCCAAUAUCCACUUCAGUGGGAGCUCUUUCUUUUAAUAAUUCUGGUGAUAGACUAAUGCCAGAGGCCUUGGUGGAUUUUCAUUUCAAACAGCUUUAUUGAUCCUGGAGAGUUUUGCCUGCUGUUUGGAUUGCUUUCCAUUUAUUUCUGGAGCCCUGAUUUAGCAGGCCUCUAAUUUUGGUGGUGGAGAAAUAUUUCUGUCUUGUUCUUCCCAUCUUUCUUGCCUGUCACGUAGUUACUCAAGGGGCAGAAAAGAUUUUAACAGGACCCAGGAUUGCUGCUUAAAAUCCGCCUGGUUUCUCCCAUACCCUGAAAUGCUCCCAGUAAUUGGUAAUGGCACUGCAGACACUUCAAAUCUGUGAAUCUAGAAAAUACUUGACAUUCUGAACUGCUUUACAGUGACUCAUGCUUCUGCUCUACAGACUCAGGCUGUCCAGAUGGAGAGAAUUACAUACAGCAAGUAGUUUCAGCUCUGCUGGGAGAUACUUUCCUAAAGGAAUGUGUUCUCACCUCUAAGUGAGAUCUUCUGGAGGAUUACUGCAUGCUACAGUCAACAAACCAACGGGGAAAAAAGAUGCACUUCUUAUAAUAGAACACUGCAGGUUUGUGCAGGCCUGUUAAAUGUGUUUGGCUUUGGAUCAGGACAAAAUGGAGUUCUCUUGCAGGAUUUCCAAGAUUUUUAUCCCUUAAGUUUGAUGAAAUGAACUCAUGAGAACCACUCAGAAGGCUCUUUGGAAGAGAGAAGUGUUUUCAGUGAAGCUACAAACAGGAAACCACCGGUGUCCAGAUAAGAUAUUAAAAAUUUAAAACUGUCCAAGCACCUCAUCCCCAGAAGGACAAGGAUCAUUUCAGGUUGUGGUUUCUUUAAACCAUGUCCAAAGAUAGCUGAUGGAGCACAAGAUUUCUGAAACAAGAGUUUGACAGAAAUGUUGGACACGGGAGCAAAGUCUGAAGACUGUGAGUUAUGUUUGUGAUUUAAUGCAUAAUUCUGACCACGACCUGUCCUCACUGGUCCUUCAGGCUUUGCACUGAAAGAGGCACCCAACAAAUGUUUGAGAGCACAGUGUUUUUAUAAGAACUGUUGUCAUCUUUUGAAUUACACAAGAAUCACUGGGAGAGAAACAUAAUUAUCUCCAAACAACACAAAAUCAUCAGCAUUUUCAAAGUACUUUAGAAUUUGUGGUUUUGUCUUUAAUUGUGCUGUUACUGUGCUUGCUCAUGAGUUGUGGGUGAUAACAUGUGAUUAUCAUCUGCCUACUUGAUCACAUGCACAUUUGUGAUGCUUGCAAGAGCAAACAUUAUUGGCUGGGAUCUGUCACAUUCUCAGUGCCAGAGACUGUUUCCCAGACAACAGCACAGUCCCCUUGAUCCACGAGCCCUGCACCACCGUGGACCUGUGCUCAGUCUAACACCUGCUGGCAGCUGCUGCUCCCACUCCUGACACAGACAAGAUGUUUGUAGAGCCAUAAUCCAACUGCCUGAACUCUGCAAACCAAGGAAACUGCAGAACCUAAAUUACAAAGUCAAAGUGAGUCAAACAGCACCUACCUUGUUACAAAUUCUGAGUCAGUUUUAAAUUGAAACCAGAUCAUUCCUUGCCAAAAGCCAUUUAAGGGCCAUGUACUACCUGUUUAAGUCCUCUGCUGCCAAACAUAAAGGCAAGCACAGCUGUGUAAGGUGGUAAAUCAUUUCUCUGUAGUAAUUGGAGUGUGGUAAAACAAAGGAGCCCAGAGGGCAGGUGGAAGAGUGAGUGUCAGAAGCAGCUCAGGCCAGCUGGGUGGGAUCCUGUGUGCAGGGCGUUUACAUUUUGGAUGUUGUCAGGUGGGCGAGGAAGCUGAUAAGAAAAAUAAUUAUUUGCAUUCAAAUUAUAUAAACAGUGCCAGAGCCUGGUUAGUGUAGGCAGUGUUAGACAGAGUGUUUCCCAACUGCAGGAGAUGUAUCACAUGCUGGGUGAGGAAGGUAUAUGAGGCAACAGCACUCUGAAGGUGUGCAGCUCUAAGCCUCUUGGCACAUUUUAUGGUAGAAGAAUAAAAUAAAAAGGAUCUGAAAAUCAAAUGGUUGUCCCAGAUCAUUCUAUUAAAAAUGCACAUUUUUAAUGUGACCUAACUUAAACUCAGUGUUGUGAAGGAAAGAUAAUGUCUGGGUUUGAAUUUAUCGGGGGGAAGGGAGCAGGAUAUUGGUGGGAUUUGGGCAGGAUUCUUCAGGGUGUGCAGGGGCAUUUGGGGAAGGGAGAGAUGUGAAAUGGCAGGUAACAAAAUCUCAGUCUCCCCUUGAUGACUGAGUGGCUGUAGCAGCAGUGUAGCAGUUUCACCAUCAGCAGUUCAGAUCUCAAGCUGUCCUUCCACAUCAGGUGGCCACAGGUUUCUGAAGAUCUUAUCACCAAUUUUUUUGGUUUUAACUUGUUAAGAAUUAUUUCAAAUGUAAAUGGAAUAUUAAAUGAUUUUGUUUAUUGAUCCUGUGAUGCUCGGUCUGAAUACCCUGUAGGUUUGCAGAGGGGCACCCUGGGGUGUGCCAUUCCCUCUGCGGGCACCAUGGGAGAUCCACAGGAGGAUCUAUGGGAGUUUCACCUUUGAUACACUCUUUCAUAUUCCUUCUGACUGCAACUCUGCCUUUCAGAAAAAGCAAAUCCACAGUCAAGAUUCUCUCUCUAACCAAAGACUGCCUAAAAGUUUUGAAACAUAUCCCUUCCUCACCUUCUCAAGAAGUUGAGAGCCUCUUCAACUGCAUUCUGUGAAUGAUGGCCUUGGCUUUUCCAUUAAGUACCAAAGGCUCUUAUCUGACACUGAGUCACAGGUUCACAACAGGACAUUUGCACUCUGAGUUGCUCUCAGGUUACCUGAGACCAGCUUUAUUGAAAUCACAUCCCAGAGAGUUGUGCAGUGUAAUUGUAGCUGUGGUGACCAAUAUCUGCAAAGGGGAGAAAAGCUGCUUCAUCACAGAUGAGGACUUGUGCAAACAGAAAUCCAAAAGUCUGUUCUCACAGGGACACACAGGGAGUGGAAUACACAGACAACACAUGUGAGCCAGCCCCCUCUCGUGGUUUUUCCACACAGAAGGCAGGAAUCAACUCAAACUGAUUUCUUAGUAAUGAUUCAAACACCUGCAUCUCUCCUCUGAAAGCUGAUAUGGUUAGUGGCAUUUCACCUCUUCUUAGGGAGUGAUAGGUAUUAGUCUGAGGACAGAAAGUUAUAAUAUUUAAAAUUUUUUAUUUGUAUUUCCUAGGCAAUUUGAUGGCUAUUUCUGGUAGAAUAUGAAGGACUAAGGGAAGGGGAUUUGUUGGCUAUCUCUAUAAGCUGUUUUUCCUCAAACUGAGGGAGGAAGCAAAUACUACAGGAUAAAAAACAAAACUCUCCUGGUCAACUGCUAAAGUGCAGAAACAAACACAGGCAUUUGGUUGUCUUACACUGCUCUGUGUUACAAUUGAGUUGAACUGAAUUGCAUGAUACACACAAGUCAGUGUUUGUCAGUGGGUGAAGAACAAAUGCACUGAACUGAGAGAACUGCUGCAGGUCUGGCUACAGCCAAGCUGCUUCCAGCACUGGCCAAACCAGCCCUGAUCAGUUGUUCUUGCUCUGCAGCACCAGCACAGCCUUCCUGUCAUUCCCCCAUGUCAUUUAUGGCUCACUGAGCACACAGAAAUUGAGGUGCUUGUUCCUCACAGGGCUGUCCCAACAACACGAGCAGCAGCCCCAGGACAGGACAGAAAUAAAUGUCCUCAGGUGGCCCCAGGGCCAGCCCCCCCAGCUCCCCAGCCUGGGCAGAGCUGCAGAGCAGCUGCACUGGGGCACUUUGGCAGAGCAGCUCCCCUGCCUGAGGCUCCGAGGUUUAUGGAGCUCAGGCGUGCUGCUUGCUGCAUUCUGCUCCUUCCCCUCUGCCCUGGGACAAAGGAGGGCUCCAGGCCUCAGUGAUGAGGAAUUUGGGACAACAUCUGCUCUGAAGGAAGGUGAAGGGCUUUGGGCUGGGAGGCCAGAUUGCUGCAGCAGCGGGGAGCACUGUCAGGACUCAACAUCACAGUGAAACCGUUAAUGCUUGCAGAGGAGGUAAAACUGGUAAACAAUGCUGGUUACUUCAAUAAAAACACGUUUUCACUAUUGAAAGGGAAAUAUUUUUAUUCCAUUUAUGUUUCAGUAAAGAGAGAAAGAGAUGCACCAAAGCAUGUUAAUCCCUGCUACAGUGUGAGCUCUGAUCUAAUAAAUGUCUCAUCAUGGAAACCCAUUUGUGCCUAACACCACUUUUCCAGAAUGUUCUGUAAUGGUGGCAUUUCCCCAUUGGUGUCUUCUUUAGAUAUUGAUCAGAAAUCCAGAAGGAUCAAAAUUACUUGAACAAAACUCCUAUAAAGUAUGGGCAAAGCUAGAGGAGUUGGUACCACCCUGCAGUGAGGUAUUUCUGUGCUUUCUUUCUGUCAAUAAAGGUAUUUGUUUAUUAAAAGCACCAUUUGAUGUGACCUUGUCAUGCAGGGAUGCAUUAUGACUUGCCAGGAAUUAAUGAGCCAAUUCUGGAAGCACUGAAAAGCAGUUUUGCUAUCCAACAAAGUUUUCUCUGAAAAGUACAUUCAGGAAAAUACAGCCAAGCAUGGGGAGGCUGAUCCUGAAGUGACAGCUGAUGAAAGAGUGUUCAUAGCUGGGCAGCCAUGAGGAAUUGUACCAUGGAAGUCACUGAGGAGGUAUGUCUGGAAAAGAAAACACUGACAAUUUUCUAUCAUUACAACUGCCACAUUGACAGAGGGACUGGGAACUUGUUUUUCCAGCUCAAGAAAAGAGCAAGACUUUUGAAUGGUUUUCAUUAAUAUUGCCUGUGAAUACCAAUAUUUCACACCAAUAAAACUUGGAUUUCAGAUCAAGGAACUUGUGCUGCGUUACUGCAGCACAGCCAUAUUUCAGAAUAUGACAGGGGGAAAA